rnacentral:lncRNA from 1 species
AAAAAAUCCAACUUUACUUUCUUUGUAAAAAUAUAUUCUACAUACAAAUUGUUUACCAUACAAAAUCAUACAUGUGAAAUAAUUCGUGCCAUGAAACUUGCAUGGCAGACGUUAAUUUAAAAAAUAUUGCUGAAAUUCAAAUUCAGGACAAUAGACUAUAAACUCGCGCUGCGCCCAAGUUAUUACUAGUCAUUGCACAAGUCAAAAAAAAAAAAAAAACUAAAGCGUUUGAUUUGACUGAUAAUACGUUUGAUUUGACUGAUUUGACUGAUAAUACAUGAUUGAUAAAUAUAAUUUACUCCUAAUUAGGCUCAUAAUAAAUACUAACUCAAUUUAUAUCCUAAUCAUCUAAUUAAAAUAAUUAUUUAUCACGUCAAAUUAAGUUGAAUGAAUUAUUCUAUCAUAUCCACCUAAUUAAACGAUACCUAAUUAAAUUGAAUUAUACAAGGUUGGACAAAUAAAAGUUUGGUUUACGAUUUAAAAAAAAAAAAAAAACCAAAACAAAAUAACAAAAUGAGGGGGCCACACAAACAAAAGUUUGAUUAAGGUCUAUAAACGCC